GACGGAGAUUGUUUGAGAGUUCGGAUUUGGAUUUGGGAGGUAAAAACUGUCCCGACCCGCCCCAUUUUCAUGCCUAAUUAUUCUUCACACUCUUCUUCACUACAAAACCUCAAUCAUCACUUUCAUAACAGAACCUCCAAUCUCCUGCAAACAGAAGCAGACCGGAAACACUCAAGAACCAACAAAUCGAUUCUUCACUCAUUCAUUCAUCACUGACUCUCCACAAAUCAUAGAAAUACAAAGUGAUUCACAAGUUCGAUUUAAACCUUCACUCUCAAUCUUUUCAUCACUCUCGCACCGCAUAAUCGAAGAGUUCGACGGAAUCGCAAACAGAAAAGGAAGAAGAAAGAGGAAUCAAAGAAGUCGCAAUGAGUUGAUACUUGUUGUUGUUGGUAGCCACCGCAUUGGAACUCUGUUUCGGUAGGAUAUUCUUCCCCUUCUUGUUCAUUGUUUAUGCGCUUGAAUGAAACACAUUGAUUCCAUGACGCGUUCUGUUCGCGUGAUGCAUCCAAUGUUGAUGAGAGUAUAAGACUCGGGUGGUUCGGGACGGAUCUUGAGAGGAGAAAUGGAGAGUCCGAGGAUGCGAGGAAGGUGAAGUAAGUUCUGCAGCGUUAUAUCUCACGUUUUGGGAUUGAAAUUUUUGACCAGUGUUGAAUCCGGUGGCUUGGUUGUUGGCGUUUGGUCUUGAGGCCCAAACACUUUAUAUUCGCACCCCCGAUCCGCUUUCCAGAUUGUUGGGACAAUUCUGCCUGUGCCUUCACCCCUCGUUUCAUCCAUUAAGGCCCAGUUGAUUUCGUGACACCCGUAUUAGACUCAAAGAAGCUUUCAAAGGAUCAUGGACCCAGGGGAGCAAAGUCAGGUUGUGUUAAGAGAAGAUGUUGGCAUGAUGGAAAACAUACUAGACCAACUCUGAAGAAGGUCAUCCCAACAAUGAGUUAAGACAAGAGUUCAUCCUUAAUUGGAAAUCAUCUGGCUCUUGCAUCAUUUCAUUUGUAUUUCCUUUGCAUGUUGAAUGUUUAUUUGCUUUUAAGUAUUAUUGUUUUCUUUCAAUGGUAAUAUUAAUGAAGUGAUCAUGCAUUUUAUGAAUCAA